AGUAAGACAGUGGUGGAUUGACUUAGAAGGGGCCUUUCAUCGUUUACUUUCUAUCCAAGUAGAACACAGGGCUGGGGAAUGCUGCCCCCACCCCAGCCAUUCCUGAGCCCCUAAAGCCCAGGAGCCCCUCACAGCCACCGGGAGAGAAAAGCUGCCAGCCUCCCGCUGACAGCCCGUCUUCUGUUCCACCAGGAUCUCUCAGCAUUUGAUCCUGCAUUCUGAGGUGGCAGCACCAGGGCUGGCCCUAUCAGAAUCUGACAUUUCGAAAGCUGGUGUCUGGGUCUGCCCAGGUUCUCAUCAGCUCCAGCCAGCUGUCCCUCCAGCUGCACCUGGAAGCGGGGCCGAGGCUGCCCGCUAGGUGCUGGAGUUUAACACACUCCUCUUUUAUUUUCCAAGGAACUUCCCAUCACACAGGGCUCCUCACGCCAGGAAACUCGGCUGUUGGGGUGGGAAGGGGAGAAAGGGAGGUGGAAGGGGGACAGGAGGCAGGAGGGGGAGAUGGAUGGGAAGAGGGAAGAGGGUCUGAGGAUGCCUGAACUUCAACCCACUGGUGCUCAUCCAGCCUCCCGGGAAAACAGCCCUGCAGAGCCCCAUGCAGGAGGAAAUGGAUUUUAACUGGAUUCACAGAGAGCAGGUCAGACCUCCAUGAGAAUUCCUGAUGGUACAGGAUCAACUCAGCCCUCCCUCCUCACCUUACUGUCCAGCCACCUGUGGGUCCCUGUGCCCCGAACACCCUCCCUGGGCCUCACUGUCCCAUUCCCUGCCCGGAAGUCCUCCUAGCAAAGCUGGCCCUGAGCCUCCCCACACGGCACACCUGUGCCCUCCUCAGCUCCCUUCAGGCUGGUGCUGUUGCACCUGUGCGGUUGGAGGGUCUUCCUCGGGGGAGGGGGCCUGAGGCCUGCAGGGCCUCCCCAAUCCCCUCUCCUGCGCCAGAUCCUGAAUGAGGGGACGGGGACGGUUGAGUCCUGUCUCACCAGCACGUGGCCACACUUCAGACCACUGACUUAUCUGUGGACCACCCAUCGUUAACGCCCUCUGAAUUAACUCAGCUGUUUUGUGUGGCGCCUACUGAGCAAUGACACCUGUGAGAUCAAUGGCUGUGCCAGUCAUUCUUGCUCAGGGGAACAUUAGAGUCACAGGAUGGUUUUCUGUGGUGGGGCACCCUUACCUGCUGCAGGAUGCUGGCCUGUGCCACCCCAGCUAGACUGGUGAUGCAACGUGGAGCAGGGUCCUUACUCCAUGUCUCCCCACCUGUCACUGGGGACCACGGCAUGCUCCUACAUACACAGAGCAAGCACGUAAUGAGUGGCUUGUGGCUGCAGCAGAAACCUCUCCAGCUGUCCCUAUGGCCCUCCCAGUGCCCUCAGCACACCCAGUUCCUACACGUUCCUCCAGAAUAGCCCCUGGUUACUCUCAAAGCCCUUCACAGGCAUGAUCUUCCGGGGUCCUCAAGCACACCAGUGAGAUGGACAGGCAAAUGAAGAAACUGAGGCAGGCAGUCCAAGUGGCCCAGGGUUUCCCAGAAGCCCCAGCUCAUUCCUCCAAAUCCUUGGGCUCGCUGGUCUAAAGCCUGGUGAUUACCAGGCAGGUGGGCUGUUCAGACCUGUGCACAGUAAAGAGCUGCUUAUAGUGGAGGUGCUGGAUACAUGUGCCCCAGCCUGGAAAACAAGCCAUGCCAGUGAACGUCCAGGUCGACUUAGGCCUGGCACAACUGUCGCCUUCUCAGACCUCACCCAAGUGCCCUCCACUUUGGGCAGGAUACCAAGGAAUGAAUGGCAGGGCCUGCAUUCCUGGACCUGGGCACUACGUAUAUUUUUAGCCUCUGCCUUCCUGGGCAUUUGCAGGGUGGCUAAUGUUCUCAGGGAGCCACCAGCUGCACACCCACGGGCUGGGCAGGCACUCGGAGGUCUCUGGGAACUGCACCCUCCCUGCCUUCAGUCCGGGGGCUCAGAGGCCAGCUCCUUUUCAAGGCAGAAUCAGCUCCUGCUAGUGAAGCAUGCACCCCACCCCCAACACAGCCAGAAGCCUGUGGCUCAGAAACUAGGAGGCAUGAAGUACAGGAUUUGUGACCUUGGAUUUCCUUACUUGGAAAAUGGGGUGGGGUGGGGGGACAGAAGGACUUUGACUCCACAUGGGAUCACCAGGCCAGCUCACUCAGGAGACCUGGUUGGCACCUCCUCCUGACAGGUGCACCCUGUAUAUCCAAGUGGGGAAGGAUGUGCUGUGUUGAGAAGCUGAGAGUCUGGGUCGCGCUUCCCAGGGCCAGAUGCCCCAGUCGCUGGAGACCUCUCCUCCCUGAGCUGGGCUGACUCCAUGGCUUUGCUGUCUCUGUUCUCUUCCUGCAUAUGAUGUUCCAGGAGCCAAGAAGCAAUUCUAGAAUGUACAGGUCAAUCUUGGCAGAUGAAACUGAAUUUUCCCUCUUCUCUUCUGCUUCCUGUGUCCCCUUCCUUAAACUCAUCACUGUUCUCUUACUGGCCAUUGCCGGGCUCUGGUGGGAGCAGGUUGGCUUCACCUUUGUGAAGAGACAAGAGACAGUGUGAUGCGGCCCCAAGCCUGUGGAGGAUGCCACCAGGCCAGACUGCAACUUCUCUGCGUGACUCCCCCGUGCUGGGCCUCUGUUUCCCCUUCUGUCAAAUGGGGAGUCACAGCGUCUACCCUGCAGGGCAGGUAAGAUCUUCUUAUUAUAGUCAGAAACACAUUCUAGGUCCUUACCAAGUCCACACUUACACAAACAGGUGAAUUAAAUAUUUCACAAAAUAAUACUUACUUUCACCAUGCGAGAUACUAUUAUUUUCUUUUUUUCCUUUAGAAAUAGGGUCUUGCUGCCACCCCUGCGUGCAGUAGUCCAAUCACAGCUCAUUGCAGCCUCCAACUCCUGGGCUCAAGUGAUCCUCCCGCCUCUGCCUCCACCUCCCCAGGAGCUGGAACUACAAGUAUGUGCCCCCACACUCGCCCAAUUUUUUUUAAAGUUUUUUUUUUUUUUGUAGAGAUGGGGUCUCCAUAUGUCGCCCAGGCUGAUCUCAAACUCCUGGCCUCCAGUGAUCUUCCCGCUUCGGCCUCCCAGAGUGCUGAGAUUACAGGCAUGAGCCACCCACCACGCCAUCUGAUAUCUUCUAGCUUAUUCUAUUUCAUUUUUAUUAUUAUUUUUCUUGAGACGGGGUCUAGCUCUGUCGCCCAGGCUGGAAUGCAGUGGUGAGAUCUCUGCUGACUGCAAUCUUCACGUCUCAGGCUCAAGCGAUUCUCCUGCCUCAGACUCCCGAGUAGCUGGGGAUUACACGUGUCUGUCACCACGCCCGGCUAGUUUUUUUGUAUUUUUAGAGUAGAGACAGGGUUUCACCAUUUUGCCCAGGCUGGUCUUGAACUCCUCACCUCAAGUGAUCCGCCCGCCUCCGCCUCCCAAAGUGUUGGGAUUACAGGCGUGAGCCACCGCGCCCAGCCUAUUGCAUUUUUAUAGUCACCACCCACUACUUUUUUUUUCCAGGACCCAAUAUUGGUCCGUGAUCUGAUGAUGUUCACGGUCAAGACGGAAGCAAAAAAAGCACACACCGCGCGCCCUCGGUCACUAAUCACGCGGAGUAUACGCGAGGAGGGCCCGCAGCUAAGCG
rnacentral:lncRNA from 1 species